AGAGGAGAGGAGGAGUGAGUGGUGGGGAGACAGAUGGGGAGCUGGCAGGAACUCCAGGGGGAUCCCCAAGUCCCACGUUAUUCUGGAAGGUUGUGCCAAGAAGGUGCUUUUGGUUGCUCUCCUUCCCAUCUGGGUCUCUCUGCACCCGAAGAAGUGACUGUCCAUCUGGGCAGGCCCAGAACUGAUCGCUUGUGAGCCCCCUCCCACUGGUUGGCAGAUACUGAGCAAGGCCUGGACUUAUCCCUCAGCAAGAAACAAGAGGAAGCCCUGGGAUGAUUCAGGAAACACUUGUUUGCCUGUCCUUGCUUGGCUGUCCAUGGGAGGAGAGAAAAAGGAUUGUCCAGGCACCAUCCCCUGCUAAACAUGGUCCUUUGUGUUGACAUUUGGGGAUCAUGUCCUGGCUCCCCGUGGUUAAAGAUCAGAUGGCUCACACUUCUGACUGGAAGUGCUCAGAACAAGAGUCCAGGUGUGGUUGCUGCCUUGAGAGAUGCAGGAGAAGCCUGAAGGAAACUCUUCUAGAGCAGCAACCUGCCUCUCCCUCAGGAACUAGCUGAGCCUGAAGCCUGAGGAUGAUAGAGCCGACAGCCUUCAGGGAGCCUGGGAGGAUCCAUGACACCCACUGGCAGCCUGGACACCUUGGUCCUGAGACCCAGGGCAACAGUGUGGAGAACAGUUCUGGAAUGGACCACUUGACCUUGUGUCUGCCGGACAAAGGCUUCAGCCUCAACCAUUUCAAUCUGACAAACGCCAUCAGAUCCCACAAGAUCUUUCUCCACAAAGAAGUCCUGUGUCCCAUCCUAACCAAUACCUGAGUUAUACUGCACCCUUCCACCUGCCUCCUGCCCUGCCUCCUUUGUUUCUUCUACAGCCUUCCCCGGAGUCACUGCCUUCUCCACGGCGCCUAAGAGCAAGCCCAUGAAACAUUCAUGAGCCCACAUGGUGAGAGAACUAAUUCCUACAAGUUAUCCUCGAACUUCUACAUGUGCCAUGGUGCACCUGUGCACAUAUUAAAUAAAUAAGUAUAAUUUUAAA